CUCUGAAUCAAUGCCAUUUUGCCUGAUAAACGAUGCCGUUUACCAUCAGUAUUUUCUCAGUUCCUUAGACAUGCCAUCCAUCUAGAUAAAUUAUGAUUGGAAAAUGAUGUUGGAGCAUCAGAAAUUCAAGGACUUGAUACUUCCCAUCAAAAGGACUACAGGAAUUGAAAUACGUGUCAUACCGUUAAAUUAAUUUCUAUGCGUGGGUCUUUAAUUGUUUGCCAGAGAAGGGAGUCAGCAUGUGAUGUCGUCCGUCGCUAAAGAAAUAUUGCUUGGGCAGGAACAUUUUCGAUCUAUCCCAACGUUUAUAAUAGGGCAAAAAAAAAUAUACUUCUAGAUAUUGACUGAAAUGACCACUGCUGAACAAGAAAUAUCUGAAGCCUUCAAGCGGUUAUUGGAAUUUGGACCCUUUUAAAAUUAAAUUAUGAACGGAGAUCCAACAGAUUUAAUUGAUAGUUCUUAAAAGGCUUGAAAUACCAAUUUCAAAAUGCAUCAUCUUUAGUACUCACAAAUUAUAGAACUUAAACCCAAUCUGCACAGUGGAUUGAAAGCGAACGAAACGUUUAUAAUCUCUCCUUAUUCCAGACAAGU